rnacentral:lncRNA from 10 species
AAGACUGGGAAAUUUACAAAAGAAAGAGGUUUAAUUGGGCUUACAGUUCCAUGUGGCUGGGGAAGCCUCAGGAUCAUGGAAGAAGGCAAGGAGGAGCAAGUCAUGUCUUAAUGAUCUGUCUUGAUGUCUGGCCCUGCUCCUAUGGACUCUUCACUCCAACCACAUAGAACUACUUGUGGUUCCCUGGACUUGGAGUUGCCCUGCAAAGGAGAGCUGAAGCAUCUCCUCCAGGAAGCAGAACCAUCCUGUUAGAUUACCUGACUUAGGGGGCCACAGUGUCCCAUGCCCAGCACAGGGCCCCGCACACAGUAGGUGCUCAAUUAAUAUAAUACUGGAUGAAGAAGUAAAUGAGACCUCAGAGGCAGCAUCAUGUCUC